rnacentral:rRNA from 1 species
AUACGUAGGGGGCGAGCGUUGUCCGGAAUGAUUGGGCGUAAAGGGCGCGUAGGCGGCCCGGUAAGUCUGGAGUGAAAGUCCUGUUUUUAAGAUGGGAAUUGCUUUGGAUACUGUCGGGCUUGAGUGCAGGAGAGGUAAGUGGAAUUCCCAGUGUAGCGGUGAAAUGCGUAGAGAUUGGGAGGAACACCAGUGGCGAAGGCGGCUUACUGGACUGUAACUGACGCUGAGGCGCGAAAGUGUGGGGAGCAAACAGGAUUAUAUACCCUGGUAGUCCACACCGUAAACGAUGAAUGCUAGGUGUAGUGGGUAUCGACCCCUUCUGUGCCGCAGUCAACACAAUAAGCAUUCCGCCUGGGGAGUACGGCCGCAAGGUUGAAACUCAAAUGAAUUGACGGGG